GUGAACAUGCGCACAGAAGCGUUGAUAUCCUUUGAACCACAACACAUACAGUAACAUGUGAAUAUAUGACAGUUACUGUAUAGUAGCUACAUAACGUGAAUCCUGUUAGCCACGGGACUAUGACAAUAUUCUCCCUGUUGAUUCUAUUUCAACUCCAUUUGCAGGGGCUGAGUCAAUGCAACUUGAACGUUAAGUGCAACAGAGCAGAGUUGUCGUGCCAACCGCUGCCUGUGCACCGUGACCUCAACAUCUGGUAUGUUCUGAGCGUGCUCCAACUCCGGCUCCUAGGAUCAGCUAACUCACCAUGGGAAACUACAUGUGUGGAACACUGAGGAAGAAGAAAAAUGAAGAUGAAGAUAACGGUGAUAAUCAUAGCAGCCCAGACAACAAGGAAGAGGAUGUGACAUAUGCCACCAUCGACCAUAACAACACCAAGACAACAGGAUUCAUUGUAGAUUCCGGAGAUAAUGAUUGUGACUACGCCAUCGUUAACCUUCCAACUGGCCCAGCCCACCAGCCGUCAAUCAAGGAAGACUGUGCAGAUGACUAUGUCCUUAUGGGCUAACCUCAUGGACAAUGUGUGUGUGUGUGAGAUGACAGAGGUAAUGUGAGUAGGGGGAUAACGGAGAUGCAAGGUGGACAAGGGCUGGGGAAAGCUAGACAGCACCUUACGGAACCAAAGGAACAGAUAUGAUGCCUCUGACAGUGCCUACAAACUGAACUUGAUGCAGUGUGGGGUGCACCAAUUAGUGGGGCUUACCAAAGUAUUCACCCCCUUGGCAUUUUUCCUAUUUUGUUGACUUACAACCUGGAAUUAAAAUAUAUUUUGGGAG